UACGGAGGAGGCAAGCGUUAUCCGGAAUCAUUGGGCGUAAAGCGUCCGUAGGUGGCACUUCAAGUCUGUCGUCAAAGACUGGGGCUUAACCCUGGAAAGGCGGUGGAAACUGAAGCGCUAGAGUGUGGUAGGGGUAGAGGGAAUUCCCGGUGUAGCGGUGAAAUGCGUAGAGAUCGGGAAGAACAUCGGUGGCGAAGGCGCUCUACUGGACCGCAACUGACGCUCAGGGACGAAAGCUAGGGGAGCGAAUGGG
rnacentral:rRNA from 1 species